CAGCCGCCGCGGUAAUACGAGGGGGGCAAGCGUUGUUCGGAAUUAUUGGGCGUAAAGGGUGCGUAGGCGGUUUGAUAAGUCAUCUGUGAAAUCUCUGGGCUCAACCCAGAGUCUGCAGGCGAAACUGUCGGGCUUGAGUGAGGAAGAGGGUUGUGGAAUUCCCAGUGUAGAGGUGAAAUUCGUAGAUAUUGGGAAGAACACCGGUGGCGAAGGCGGCAACCUGGUCCUUGACUGACGCUGAGGCGCGAAAGCGUGGGGAGCAACCAGGAUUAGAUACCCCAGUAGUCCCUGUCUCUUAUAC
rnacentral:rRNA from 1 species